AUUGAACGCUGGCGGCAGGCUUAACACAUGCAAGUCGAGCGGAGAUGAGGUGCUUGCACCUUAUCUUAGCGGCGGACGGGUGAGUAAUGCUUAGGAAUCUGCCUAUUAGUGGGGGACAACAUUCCGAAAGGAAUGCUAAUACCGCAUACGUCCUACGGGAGAAAGCAGGGGAUCUUCGGACCUUGCGCUAAUAGAUGAGCCUAAGCCGGAUUAGCUAGUUGGUGGGGUAAAGGCCUACCAAGGCGACGAUCUGUAGCGGGUCUGAGAGGAUGGUCCGCAACACUGGGACUGAGACACGGCCCAGACCCCUACGGGAGGCAGCAGUGGGGAAUAUUGGACAAUGGGGGGAACCCUGAUCCAGCCAUGCCGCGUGUGUGAAGAAGGCCUUAUGGUUGUAAAGCACUUUAAGCGAGGAGGAGGCUACUGAGACUAAUACUCUUGGAUAGUGGACGUUACUCGCAGAAUAAGCACCGGCUAACUCUGUGCCAGCCGCCGCGGUAACAC
rnacentral:rRNA from 1 species